GACGAACGCUGGCGGCGUGCUUAACACAUGCAAGUCGAACGGUGAAGGGGCCUGCUUUUGUGGGCCCUGGAUGAGUGGCGAACGGGUGAGUAACACGUGAGUAACCUGCCCCCUUCUUCUGGAUAACCGCAUGAAAGUGUGGCUAAUACGGGAUAUUCUGGGUCUGUCGCAUGAUGGGUCUGGGAAAGAUUGCGCCUUUGGGUGUUUUUGGUGGGGGAUGGGCUCGCGGCCUAUCAGCUUGUUGGUGGGGUGAUGGCCUACCAAGGCGGUGACGGGUAGCCGGCCUGAGAGGGUGGACGGUCACACUGGGACUGAGACACGGCCCAGACUCCUACGGGAGGCAGCAGUGGGGAAUAUUGCACAAUGGGCGCAAGCCUGAUGCAGCGACGCCGCGUGAGGGAUGGAGGCCUUCGGGUUGUAAACCUCUUUCGCCAGUGAAGCAGGCCUGCUCCUUGUGGGUGGGUUGACGGUAGCCGGAUAAGAAGCGCCGGCUAACUACGUG
rnacentral:rRNA from 1 species